rnacentral:lncRNA from 1 species
CAAGCCAUCACAUCCCCUGUGACUUGCACGUAUACGCCCAGAUGGCCUGAAGUAACUGAAGAAUCACAAAAGAAGUGAAUAUGCCCUGCCCCACCUUAACUGAUGACAUUCCACCACAAAAGUGUAAAUAGCCGGUCCUUGCCUUAAGUGACGACAUUACCUUGUGAAAGUCCUUUUCCUGGCUCAUCCUGGCUCAGAAAGCACCCCCACUGAGCACCUUGCGACCCCCACUCCUGCCCGCUCAAAAAACACCCCCACUGAGCACCUUGGGACCCCCACUCCUGCCCGCCAAAGAACAAACCCCCUUUGACUGUAAUUUUCCUUUACCUACCCAAAUCCUAUAAAACAGCCCCACCCCUAUCUCCCUUCGCUGACUCUCUUUUUGGACUCAGCCUGCCUGCACCCAGGUGAAAUAAACAGCCAUGUUGCUCACACAAAGCCUGUUUGGUGGUCUCUUCACAUG